rnacentral:tmRNA from 1 species
GGGGGCGACCGGAAUCGACGGGGAUGGGAGGCCAUAGAGCGCAUGUCGAGGUCCCAUUGGGCUCGUUAAACAAAUGGGAAACUAUUAAUUGCUAAUGAUCAACCAUUAGCCCUCGCUGCCUAAUACGCGGCGACAUCGACCUUCCGGUGUCUGUGCGGGAGCAAGAUGACAUUUAGCAGGCUGCGAUGCUUUUUGUGUUUCAGGGGAAGCGUCUAAGACAAACUGAAGCUGGCGGAUUUUGUCGCUCGUCUUUGUGUGGCAUUUGACGCGAGAUUUAAACAGAGACUAAACAUGUAGGGGUCUUUGGUUGAAUAUUUUCGGACGCGGGUUCGAAUCCCGCCGCCUCCACCA